rnacentral:rRNA from 1 species
CUAGCUUGCUAGAAGAUGACGAGUGGCGGACGGGUGAGUAAUGCUUGGGAACUUGCCUUUAGGAGGGGGAUAACAGUUGGAAACGACUGCUAAUACCGCAUAAUGUCUACGGACCAAAGGGGGCUUCGGCUCUCACCUAAAGAGAGGCCCAAGUGAGAUUAGCUAGUUGGUAAGGUAAAAGCUUACCAAGGCGACGAUCUCUAGCUGUUCUGAGAGGAAGAUCAGCCACACUGGGACUGAGACACGGCCCAGACUCCUACGGGAGGCAGCAGUGGGGAAUAUUGCACAAUGGGGGAAACCCUGAUGCAGCCAUGCCGCGUGUGUGAAGAAGGCCUUCGGGUUGUAAAGCACUUUCAGUUGUGAGGAAAGGUUGGUAGUUAAUACCUGCCAGCUGUGACGUUAACAACAGAAGAAGCACCGGCUAACUCCGUGCCAGCAGCCGCGGUAAUACGGAGGGUGCGAGCGUUAAUCGGAAUUACUGGGCGUAAAGCGCACGCAGGCGGUUUGUUAAGCUAGAUGUGAAAGCCCCGGGCUCAACCUGGGAUGGUCAUUUAGAACUGGCAGACUAGAGUCUUGGAGAGGGGAGUGGAAUUCCAGGUGUAGCGGUGAAAUGCGUAGAUAUCUGGAGGAACAUCAGUGGCGAAGGCGGCUCCCUGGCCAAAGACUGACGCUCAUGUGCGAAAGUGUGGGUAGCCAACAGGAUUACAUACCCUGGUAGUCCACACCGUAAACGCUGUCUACUAGCUGUUUGUGAAUUUAAUUCGUGAGUA